rnacentral:rRNA from 1 species
AAAUUAAGAUUUUUUGAAUUCCCCUCUACGGAGGAAAAGAAACCAACCGGGAUUGCCUUAGUAACGGCGAGUGAAGCGGCAAAAGCUCAAAUUUGAAAUCUGGUACCUUCGGUGCCCGAGUUGUAAUUUGGAGAGGGCAACUUUGGGGCCGUUCCUUGUCUAUGUUCCUUGGAACAGGACGUCAUAGAGGGUGAGAAUCCCGUGUGGCGAGGAGUGCGGUUCUUUGUAAAGUGCCUUCGAAGAGUCGAGUUGUUUGGGAAUGCAGCUCUAAGUGGGUGGUAAAUUCCAUCUAAAGCUAAAUAUUGGCGAGAGACCGAUAGCGAACAAGUACAGUGAUGGAAAGAUGAAAAGAACUUUGAAAAGAGAGUGAAAAAGUACGUGAAAUUGUUGAAAGGGAAGGGCAUUUGAUCAGACAUGGUGUUUUGUGCCCUCUGCUCCUUGUGGGUAGGGGAAUCUCGCAUUUCACUGGGCCAGCAUCAGUUUUGGUGGCAGGAUAAAUCCAUAGGAAUGUAGCUUGCCUCGGUAAGUAUUAUAGCCUGUGGGAAUACUGCCAGCUGGGACUGAGGACUGCGACGUAAGUCAUGGGAUGCUGCAUACGUACGU